UACAGAGGUCUCAAGCGUUGUUCGGAUUUACUGGGCGUAAAGGGCGCGUAGGCGGUCAGCACAAGUCAGUUGUGAAAUCUCCGGGCUUAACUCGGAAAGGUCAACUGAUACUGUGCGACUAGAGUGCAGAAGGGGCAACUGGAAUUCUCGGUGUAGCGGUGAAAUGCGUAGAUAUCGAGAGGAACACCUGCGGCGAAGGCGGGUUGCUGGGCUGACACUGACGCUGAUGCGCGAAAGCCAGGGGAGCGAACAGG
rnacentral:rRNA from 1 species